rnacentral:rRNA from 1 species
GGGUUGUGAGGUUAAGCGACUAAGCGUACACGGUGGAUGCCCUGGCAGUCAGAGGCGAUGAAGGACGUGCUAAUCUGCGAUAAGCGUCGGUAAGGUGAUAUGAACCGUUAUAACCGGCGAUUUCCGAAUGGGGAAACCCAGUGUGAUUCGUCACACUAUCAUUAACUGAAUCCAUAGGUUAAUGAGGCGAACCGGGGGAACUGAAACAUCUAAGUACCCCGAGGAAAAGAAAUCAACCGAGAUUCCCCCAGUAGCGGCGAGCGAACGGGGAGCAGCCCAGAGCCUGAAUCAGUGUGUGUGUUAGUGGAAGCGUCUGGAAAGGCGCGCGAUACAGGGUGACAGCCCCGUACACAAAAAUGCACAUGCUGUGAGCUCGAUGAGUAGGGCGGGACACGUGGUAUCCUGUCUGAAUAUGGGGGGACCAUCCUCCAAGGCUAAAUACUCCUGACUGACCGAUAGUGAACCAGUACCGUGAGGGAAAGGCGAAAAGAACCCCGGCGAGGGGAGUGAAAAAGAACCUGAAACCGUGUACGUACAAGCAGUGGGAGCACGCUUAGGCGUGUGACUGCGUACCUUUUGUAUAAUGGGUCAGCGACUUAUAUUCUGUAGCAAGGUUAACCGAAUAGGGGAGCCGAAGGGAAACCGAGUCUUAACUGGGCGUUAAGUUGCAGGGUAUAGACCCGAAACCCGGUGAUCUAGCCAUGGGCAGGUUGAAGGUUGGGUAACACUAACUGGAGGACCGAACCGACUAAUGUUGAAAAAUUAGCGGAUGACUUGUGGCUGGGGGUGAAAGGCCAAUCAAACCGGGAGAUAGCUGGUUCUCCCCGAAAGCUAUUUAGGUAGCGCCUCGUGAAUUCAUCUCCGGGGGUAGAGCACUGUUUCGGCAAGGGGGUCAUCCCGACUUACCAACCCGAUGCAAACUGCGAAUACCGGAGAAUGUUAUCACGGGAGACACACGGCGGGUGCUAACGUCCGUCGUGAAGAGGGAAACAACCCAGACCGCCAGCUAAGGUCCCAAAGUCAUGGUUAAGUGGGAAACGAUGUGGGAAGGCCCAGACAGCCAGGAUGUUGGCUUAGAAGCAGCCAUCAUUUAAAGAAAGCGUAAUAGCUCACUGGUCGAGUCGGCCUGCGCGGAAGAUGUAACGGGGCUAAACCAUGCACCGAAGCUGCGGCAGCGACGCUUAUGCGUUGUUGGGUAGGGGAGCGUUCUGUAAGCCUGUGAAGGUGUACUGUGAGGUAUGCUGGAGGUAUCAGAAGUGCGAAUGCUGACAUAAGUAACGAUAAAGCGGGUGAAAAGCCCGCUCGCCGGAAGACCAAGGGUUCCUGUCCAACGUUAAUCGGGGCAGGGUGAGUCGACCCCUAAGGCGAGGCCGAAAGGCGUAGUCGAUGGGAAACAGGUUAAUAUUCCUGUACUUGGUGUUACUGCGAAGGGGGGACGGAGAAGGCUAUGUUGGCCGGGCGACGGUUGUCCCGGUUUAAGCGUGUAGGCUGGUUUUCCAGGCAAAUCCGGAAAAUCAAGGCUGAGGCGUGAUGACGAGGCACUACGGUGCUGAAGCAACAAAUGCCCUGCUUCCAGGAAAAGCCUCUAAGCAUCAGGUAACAUCAAAUCGUACCCCAAACCGACACAGGUGGUCAGGUAGAGAAUACCAAGGCGCUUGAGAGAACUCGGGUGAAGGAACUAGGCAAAAUGGUGCCGUAACUUCGGGAGAAGGCACGCUGAUAUGUAGGUGAAGUGAUUUACUCAUGGAGCUGAAAUCAGUCGAAGAUACCAGCUGGCUGCAACUGUUUAUUAAAAACACAGCACUGUGCAAACACGAAAGUGGACGUAUACGGUGUGACGCCUGCCCGGUGCCGGAAGGUUAAUUGAUGGGGUCAGCGCAAGCGAAGCUCUUGAUCGAAGCCCCGGUAAACGGCGGCCGUAACUAUAACGGUCCUAAGGUAGCGAAAUUCCUUGUCGGGUAAGUUCCGACCUGCACGAAUGGCGUAAUGAUGGCCAGGCUGUCUCCACCCGAGACUCAGUGAAAUUGAACUCGCUGUGAAGAUGCAGUGUACCCGCGGCAAGACGGAAAGACCCCGUGAACCUUUACUAUAGCUUGACACUGAACAUUGAGCCUUGAUGUGUAGGAUAGGUGGGAGGCUUUGAAGUGUGGACGCCAGUCUGCAUGGAGCCGACCUUGAAAUACCACCCUUUAAUGUUUGAUGUUCUAACGUGGACCCGUAAUCCGGGUUGCGGACAGUGUCUGGUGGGUAGUUUGACUGGGGCGGUCUCCUCCUAAAGAGUAACGGAGGAGCACGAAGGUUGGCUAAUCCUGGUCGGACAUCAGGAGGUUAGUGCAAUGGCAUAAGCCAGCUUGACUGCGAGCGUGACGGCGCGAGCAGGUGCGAAAGCAGGUCAUAGUGAUCCGGUGGUUCUGAAUGGAAGGGCCAUCGCUCAACGGAUAAAAGGUACUCCGGGGAUAACAGGCUGAUACCGCCCAAGAGUUCAUAUCGACGGCGGUGUUUGGCACCUCGAUGUCGGCUCAUCACAUCCUGGGGCUGAAGUAGGUCCCAAGGGUAUGGCUGUUCGCCAUUUAAAGUGGUACGCGAGCUGGGUUUAGAACGUCGUGAGACAGUUCGGUCCCUAUCUGCCGUGGGCGCUGGAGAACUGAGGGGGGCUGCUCCUAGUACGAGAGGACCGGAGUGGACGCAUCACUGGUGUUCGGGUUGUCAUGCCAAUGGCACUGCCCGGUAGCUAAAUGCGGAAGAGAUAAGUGCUGAAAGCAUCUAAGCACGAAACUUGCCCCGAGAUGAGUUCUCCCUGACCCUUUAAGGGUCCUGAAGGAACGUUGAAGACGACGACGUUGAUAGGCCGGGUGUGUAAGCGCAGCGAUGCGUUGAGCUAACCGGUACUAAUGAACCGUGAGGCUUAACCUUACAACGCCGAAGCUGUU